rnacentral:rRNA from 1 species
AGAGUUUGAUCAUGGCUCAGGAUGAACGCUGGCGGUAUGCCUAACACAUGCAAGUCGAACGAUGUCUUCGGACAUAGUGGCGGACGGGUGAGUAACGCGUGAGAAUCUGCCUCUAGGAUGGGGAUAACGGUUGGAAACGACCGCUAACACCCAAUAUGCCGUAAGGUGAAAAAUUUAUUGCCUGGAGAGGAGCUCGCGUCUGAUUAGCUAGUUGGUGGGGUAAGAGCUCACCAAGGCCUCGAUCAGUAGCUGGUCUGAGAGGAUGAGCAGCCACACUGGGACUGAGACACGGCCCAGACUCCUACGGGAGGCAGCAGUGGGGAAUUUUCCGCAAUGGGCGAAAGCCUGACGGAGCAAUACCGCGUGAGGGAGGAAUGCCUUUGGGUUGUAAACCUCUUUUCUCAGGGAAGAAGAUCUGACGGUACCUGAGGAAUAAGUAUCGGCUAACUCCGUGCCAGCAGCCGCGGUAAUACGGAGGAUGCAAGCGUUAUCCGGAAUCAUUGGGCGUAAAGCGUCCGCAGGUGGUUUCCAAAGUCUGCUGUUAAAGACUGGAGCUCAACUCCGGAACGGCGGUGGAAACUUGGAAACUAGAGUUCGGUAGGGGUAGCAGGAAUUCCCAGUGUAGCGGUGAAAUGCGUAGAUAUUGGGAAGAACAUCGGUGGCGAANGCGUGCUACUGGACCGUAACUGACACUCAGGGACGAAAGCUAGGGGAGCGAAAGGGAUUAGAUACCCCUGUAGUCCUAGCUGUAAACGAUGGAAACUAGGUGUGGCUUGUAUCGACCC